GAAUCUCCCUAUUCAGUUCCAACAAGUUGAUUAUGACAAUAAGCGGUUAUUGAUAUGGUGCGUUCAGAAUGGGCUGAUAUUCUAUCAAGUUAUAUAGAGUAGGUAUGAUUUGACGUUGUAAUCAUUUAGACUUGGUU